rnacentral:rRNA from 1 species
CCUACGGGGGGCAGCAGUGGGGAAUAUUGCACAAUGGGGGAAACCCUGAUGCAGCGACGCCGCGUGAGUGAAGAAGUAUUUCGGUAUGUAAAGCACUAUCAGCAGGGAAGAAAAUGACGGUACCUGUUUAAGAAGCCCCGGCUAACUACGUGCCAGCAGCCGCGGUAAUACGGAGGGGGCAAGCGUUAUCCGGAUUUACUGGGCGUAAAGGGAGCGUAGACGGCAGCUCAAGUCUGGUGUGAAAUGCCGGGGCUCAACCCCGGAACUGCUUUGGAAACUGUGCGGCUAGAGUGCAGGAGAGGGAGGUAGAAUUCCUGGUGUAGCGGUGAAAUGCGUAGAGAUCAGGAGGAAUACUAGUGGCGAAGGCGGCUUACUGGACUGUAACUGACGCUGAGGUGCGAAAGCGUGGGGAGCAAACAGGAUUAGAUACCCGGGUAGUC